AAAUAGGCUGCCAUUUGUCGAUGUAGUCAACCACUCUCUGGAUUCAGUGCCAGGUGCCUGGAGGAUGAACAUUUGCUUCAAGCCAUUAGUAAAGCCAAUCCAGUCAAUCGCUAUAUGUACGUCAUGGAUACCAGGCCAAAACGUCGCAUGCAGAGCUGGUGGGCUACACAAAAGGACAUUGGCAGAAUUAUAGUGAGGAUUUCUUCAAAAAUCCGGAAUGAUGGGAAAAUAAGAGAAAGCAAUGAGAAAAAGCGACUGAAUGCAAUGGCCAACAGAGCAGCUGGAAAAGGUUAUGAAAAUGAAGACAACUAUUCCAAUAUUAGAUUU
rnacentral:sRNA from 1 species